rnacentral:misc_RNA from 1 species
GCAUUGGCAAUGAAUGAGAGUGGAUCCCUUCUUGUUUCUGGUGGUACUGAGAAGGUUGUGCGCGUUUGGGACCCAAGAACUGGUUCCAAGACCAUGAAGCUAAAAGGUCAUACAGAUAAUAUUAGGGCUCUUCUGAUAGACUCCACUGGCAGGUUCUGCAUAUCUGGAUCCUCUGAUUCCAUGAUUAGACUAUGGGAUCUAGGUCAGCAGCGUUGCGUGCAUUCUUAUGCUGUGCAUACGGAUUCUGUAUGGUCACUUGCUAGCACUCCUACGUUUAGUCAUGUUUAUAGUGGUGGAAGAGACCUAUCUUUAUACUUGACAGAUUUGGCAACAAGGGAGAGUGUAUU